ACUACACCCUUAACUACCACAACCACACAACCUCUUAGGGCCCUGUAUAGUAGGUUUUAGGUUGGGGCGACCACGGAGUACAACCAAACCUCCGCAAUGAACGGGACCACUCCCUUAUCUAAGAGCCACACCUCUAAGAAUUAAAACACUAACAUAAAAUGAUCCAUGAUCUGAUCAAUGAACCAAGUUACCCUGGGGAUAACAGCGCAAUCCAUUUCAAGAGCCCCUAUCGACAAGUGGGUUUACGACCUCGAUGUUGGAUCAGGGUAUCCUAGUGGUGCAGCAGCUACUAAUGGUUCGUUUGUUCAACGAU
rnacentral:rRNA from 1 species